AGAGAGGUGGUGCAUGGCCGUCGUCAGUUCGUACCGUAAGGCGUUCUCUUAAGUGAGAUAACGAACGAGACCCUCACCGAUAAUUGCUACUUCUUCCUCCGGGGAGGAGGCACAUUAUCGGGACCGCUGGCGCUAAGCCAGAGGAAGGAGAGGUCAACGGUAGGUCAGUAUGCCCCGAAUCUCUUGGGCUACACGCGCGCUACAAAGGGCGGGACAAUGGGCUCCGACGCCGAGAGGCGGAGGCAAUCCCGAAACCCGUCCGUAGUUCGGAUUGAGGGCUGUAACCCGCCCUCAUGAAGCUGGAUUCCGUAGUAAUCGCGAAUCAACAACUCGCGGUGAAUAUGCCCCUGCUCCUUGCACACACCGCA
rnacentral:rRNA from 1 species